rnacentral:ncRNA from 1 species
UGACCUCGGAUCAGGUAGGGAUACCCGCUGAACUUAAGCAUAUCAAUAAGCGGAGGAAAAGAAACCAACCGGGAUUGCCUCAGUAACGGCGAGUGAAGCGGCAAGAGCUCAAAUUUGAAAGCUGGCCCCUUCGGGGUCCGCGUUGUAAUUUGCAGAGGAUGCUUUGGGUGCGGCCCCCGUCUAAGUGCCCUGGAACGGGCCGUCAGAGAGGGUGAGAAUCCCGUCUUGGGCGGGGUGUCCGUGCCCGUGUAAAGCUCCUUCGACGAGUCGAGUUGUUUGGGAAUGCAGCUCUAAAUGGGUGGUAAAUUUCAUCUAAAGCUAAAUACUGGCCGGAGACCGAUAGCGCACAAGUAGAGUGAUCGAAAGAUGAAAAGCACUUUGAAAAGAGAGUUAAACAGCACGUGAAAUUGUUGAAAGGGAAGCGCUUGCGACCAGACUCGCCCUCGGGGUUCAGCCGGCACUCGUGCCGGUGUACUUCCCCGGGGGCGGGCCAGCGUCAGCUUGGGCGGCCGGUCAAAGGCCUCCGGAAUGUAGUGCCCCCCGGGGCACCUUAUAGCCGGAGGUGCAAUGCGGCCAGCCUGGGCUGAGGAACGCGCUUCGGCACGGACGCUGGCAUAAUGGUCGCAAACGACCCGUCUUGAAACACGGACCAAGGAGUCUAACAUCUACGCGAGU